CAGCAGCCGCGGGAAUACGUAGGGUGCAAGCGUUAAUCGGAAUUACUGGGCGUAAAGCGUGCGCAGGCGGUUAUAUAAGACAGAUGUGAAAUCCCCGGGCUCAACCUGGGAACUGCAUUUGUGACUGUAUAGCUAGAGUACGGCAGAGGGGGAUGGAAUUCCGCGUGUAGCAGUGAAAUGCGUAGAUAUGCGGAGGAACACCGAUGGCGAAGGCAAUCCCCUGGGCCUGUACUGACGCUCAUGCACGAAAGCGUGGGGAGCAAACAGGAUUAGAUACCCCGGUAGUCCCUGUCUCUUAUCC
rnacentral:rRNA from 1 species